UACGGAGGAGACAAGCGUUAUCCGGAAUUAUUGGGCGUAAAGCGUCCGCAGGUGGCACUUCAAGUCUGUCGUCAAAGACUGGGGUUUAACCCUGGAAAGGCGGUGGAAACUGAAGCGCUAGAGUGCGGUAGGGGUAGAGGGAAUUCCCGGUGUAGCGGUGAAAUGCGUAGAGAUCGGGAAGAACAUCGGUGGCGAAAGCGCUCUACUGGACCGCAACUGACACUCAGGGACGAAAGCUAGGGGAGCGAAUGGG
rnacentral:rRNA from 1 species